rnacentral:lncRNA from 1 species
AGAAUCCUUAGAGCCCACGUACCUCUUGUCCCCUCUGCCCCUUUCUGGAAGGGACUUCAAAUGUCUCUGGCCUAUUCUUGCAUUCUAGACGUAUUCCCCAAGGCUUCCCUCUCAGUCUGGCCUGGACCAGAGGUGGCCUCAGGAACCAACGUGACCCUCCUGUGUAAGGGGCCCUCUUGGAGUACUAAGUUUCUUCUGCACAAGGAGGGAGAUGAUGAAAUCCUGCACAGCACAGAUAUCAUUCAGGAUGGAGCCCUGUUCUUCUUCCCUCAUGUGACUACCAAGCACUCUGGCAAUUAUACAUGCAGCUACCAGCCCAGCACCAAUGGCAGUCUCUGGACACAGCACAGUGAUCCUGUGGAGCUAACUGUCAGAGGUGCCUCUGCUGCCCUUGUCUUCCCCAGACAGUCUCCCCAUCUCAGCCCUUUGAGGCCCCCAGAGAGGAAACCCCAUGUCACCAUGACUAAAGAUGCCCAAAGAGUGACGUAUACUCAGCUGAACAUAAAAACCCUAAAAAAGGAGCAAACAGAUUCCAAGAAGAAACCUAUAGAGUCCAUAGUCUAUGCCACUGUGCCAUUGGAGUGAGGAUUUCACUACCUUUCAUGAAGAAAUUCUCUCCUUUCUUCUUCUCCUCUCCCUCACUCCUAUUAACUUGCAUACCUUCCCAGGUUCCCAUCACUGAGAAGCCAUGAGGACUAUUAGGGAUAUUUACUGGGGUUGUGCAAUGUAAAGAUAAUUUUAGUAUUGUGACUUAAAAUCUAAAUUGAAUUGUUCACCAGGGAAAACCCCAAAUAAUAAAAUACCCAAGUCAGCUGGAAAUUUAUGGUGA